CAUAUCAAUAAGCGGAGGAAAGAAACUAACAAGGAUUCCCCUAGUAGCGGCGAGCGAAGCGGGAAGAGCUCAAAUUUAUAAUCUGGCACCUUCGGUGUCCGAGUUGUAAUCUCUAGAAAUGUUUUCCGCGUUGGACCGCACACAAGUCUGUUGGAAUACAGCGGCAUAGUGGUGAGACCCCCGUAUAUGGUGCGGACGCCCAGCGCUUUGUGAUACAUUUUCGAAGAGUCGAGUUGUUUGGGAAUGCAGCUCAAAUUGGGUGGUAAAUUCCAUCUAGAGCUAAAUAUUGGCGAGAGACCGAUAGCGAACAAGUACCGUGAGGGAAAGAUGAAAAGCACUUUGGAAAGAGAGUUAACAGUACGUGAAAUUGUUGGAAGGGAAACGCUUGAAGUCAGACUUGCUUGCCGAGCAAUCGGUUUGCAGGCCAGCAUCAGUUUUCCGGGAUGGAUAAUGGUAGAGAGAAGGUAGCAGUUUCGGCUGUGUUAUAGCUCUCUGCUGGAUACAUCUUGGGGGACUGAGGAACGCAGUGUGCCUUUGGCGGGGGUUUCGACCUCUUCACACUUAGGAUGCUGGUGGAAUGGCUUUAAACGACCCGUCUUGAAACACGGACC
rnacentral:rRNA from 1 species